GGCGCCUGCCUUUAGUGUGAGUUACAUGAGAACAUCCUCUGAUUUCCGUACAAAAGGUGGCAGUGGUUGAGAAUUCUGUUACCUCUGUGAAACUUAUCGAGUCUCCUUUCUUUCUUAAGAGCAGCCAAGAUCUGCCAAAGGAAAGCCAGUGUCUGGGAACUGCCACUGAUACUUGGACGGCACCUUCUACUUUACAAAGAAUUCUCACAGGUCAGAGUUUCUGGGAUAUAGUAGGGCCAGCUCUUCUGACUGCCUCAGGUGGUGAGAGGCAAGGUGGAGGAUGGACAGAAGGCACCCAUGCCACCUCACUGGAGUGCAAUGGAGAAGACAGCACUGGUGCUCUCAACCUGCCGCAGCUCCCUUGCACCCCUUCCACCAGGCCCAGCUCUACUGUGCUGCCCAGGUGAGGUGCAGGGACAGCUCUCCAGAGCUAAUGAUCCUGUGGAAAGCUUUCCCAGUUGCUGGAGGUGGUGAGGGACGGGGUGAGGGCAUAACUUCUGCACCUAUGCCUCCCUCCCCAUGGCAGAUGAGUGGGCAGGGUCAGCUCUCCUACACUCAUGCCCAUGACCAGCUCACCUGCACCCCUGCCCCAACCAGGGAUAUCCCCAUGUUCUUUAGUGUAAUAGAAGCCAUGGUUAUUCCCCAACCCCUAUUGCUGCAUAGCCAUGGACUCAGACAUGGCCCUCAGCCGAAGCUUUGGCUGGGACCCAUCAUUGCCUCAGGUGGUAGGGCUGGCCACUCACAACAGGCUACUCCUCUACUCUCAAGUUUCCAGUUCCAUCUCUCUUGGUAAUGCUCAAGCUGCUCCACUUCUCUUUCUAUUUCAUUGGCCUACCACGUACAUACUCAGUGCACAAUGUGGUGUCUCCCACUGCAGGCUAGACACACAGCUGACAGGCAGCUCCAUCUGCACUGCAGUGUGUGGUUUCAAGUGUCUAUGACCCCUGUGUGCUGUGUGCUGGUGGGUAGGUCUGUAGAUAGCAUGUCACUCUGCAGGUCUCUGUCUGUCUUCCUCCUCCCUCACUGUGCUGCCUGGAUUUGAUUUGAUUGGUUUGAUUUUUUUUUUUUUUUUGAGUCCUAGGCAUAAAACAGCUUUAGUCACCAAGCCAGGCAUUGAACUAGAAUGAAGGACCGCCCACUGACUGCCCUGCCCCUGACUGAUAUAAGAAUACCACCACCAACAAGGUGUCUCUUUGCUCACUGCCAAGGGUUUAAUGCAAUGAAUUUUUAAGUAAUAAACUUUACAGGAUUAUAUUUUAUUGAUUAGCAUACUCUGUAGAGAGGCACGCUGUUGGCAGCCUUGGUAGUCUCUAUGUUCUGGAUACUGGGCAGGAUGGUUUUUGUACUGUUCAUAACCUCUUCCUCCUCUCUGUGAUGCUGUCUCUACUGAGAGCCAGCUGGAUGCGUCUCUAUACUUGGAGAAGAUUCAGGAGGUCAUGGGGUUAUAUGAAGUGGAAACUCAAGGGUUCUUUGAAAAGUCAGCUGUGUUGGUUGGUGUUUUGCUGAAGCAAACAUGUGAAGGAGUGUUUUCCUGAAGUGACCAUAAGUGAAAGGAUGUUUUGCUAAAGCAGACACACGAAAGGACUCGUGCCUGAGGAUUCUUCCCUAACGACACAAUGUGUUGGCCCACCUGACAUUAUGUAGUUGAGCUCCUUUUGUCAGGACUCCAUAGAGAGAAAUACCCCCAAGACUUCUGGUGGCUUCUUGCUCCUUCCUCAAACUCCGGGCUGAUUGGCAGAGUGAUCUCAGCUAAGAAAGACUCACGUCCUGAGGCAAGACCCAUGGAAGGCACGUGAUGUUUAGAGGGUAUAAAGAGGACACAGCAGACUAUGAAAGGGCUUGGUUUGCUUGCAUAACUAAAUGCUUCUUAGUGUCCUGUCUUUGCUGAUCUUCAUUUUGUUAAGAAAGGCAUGGCAGAGAACUUCUUCUGGUGUCCUUGCUGGUCCUAAUCCCUCCUGGUGAAGCCUGACUGUUCCUGCUAGGUUGUGCCACCACUGCUGCUAUCCUGACACUACUGAACUGGACUGCUGGUGUGUCUUUGAAGUACUUGGAGUGGGUCAAGCUGCCUCUGUUGAUAUGUGAACUGACCUGCUAAUUUCCUGACACCACAGAUGGGAUUUACUCGAAAGAACCAUUUCUAAACAGGUUCACUGGCUCCUGCCCCACAUCCUUUCUUGACCACACUGCCUCUGGUAGUUGGUAGGCUAAAAGGGAAGUUAAACUGUUUAAGAACCGUCCUAUAAGUAGGCUUGGAAAAAAUUAAAGCUACAGUCUGAGGAUGGUUUAGUUCAAUGGUUCUCAUUCAAGGACAUCAUGGCUUCUGGGUAAACCAAAAGCAAGCAUCAUUCCUGGCUUUGAUGGAUUGUUGACCCUGGUCAUCCAUGACCAUUAAUGAAGAUUUUUCUAAUGCAGUGUGGAAGUCUGAAGGUGGACUGUGUAAGUAGGCUACCCGUGUUAGGUGUUAGCUACUGCUUCUUGGAUACGAUCAUGGGCAAUGUUUCUGUGCCUUUAUUUAGCCUGUAAAGCAGAGGAACAGUCCACCUUGCUACAGUGUUAUGAAAAAUUACCCAUACAUAUGAAACAGAGUUCCUAAUGGAUAAUAAGCAUUCAAUAUAUAGUAGCUAUCUCUUCAUAAAGAUCCAUAGGCUAAUUUAUUUCUGGAGUUUAGUAUAAAAUUAAAAUAAUAAUGUUUCAAAAGUUGUUACACUCAGGGCUUAGCAACCAACAGCCAUUUAUUGUCAGCAUCUUCACAGGUUGGGAGUAUAAAUCAGCUGCUCACCACUUUGGAGAGAGGCGUCUCUGGCAGGCAUUGGGAGCAGCACCAAUCUAUGAGUAGAAUAUAUUCUUUACCAUCAAAGGAGAUUAAAUACAAGCAUUAUAACUUGAUAUCAGAAAUGUUAGUUUUAAGUGUAGCAAAUAUCUCAUCUGAAUGAACACCAGUAACCACUAUUCUAUAAUUUACUAUUUUUUUUUUUUACUUUUGUUGUAUGAAUCUGGUAUCUUUUCAAACAUUCAAAUCCAUCUCAAAUCCUUUUGGGAGACAGGUGAGGCUCAAUAUGAUAAAUUCCUGAACUCCAUAACAAUAGGUUAGGAAGAAGAAAACAUACAGCAAAUGAUAUUUACUUCAGACAAAUUUUAUUUUAUCUGUAAUCAUCUUUUAUAACCUUUCAUGAAUAGCAUCACAGCUGUUUGACUGACUGAAAUCAGUAUUAUUGUGGGAGUGGCUCAGCAAAGAGAUUUCAAUAUUGUUUAUUGUAAAUAAAACUGGAAAUUGCAAAAUUAUUGCAGGAAGUAUCUGAGAAAUCUAAACUAUUUCAUAUCAUUUACAUCAUAUAUUUUAGAAUGAGGUAUGACUUACUUUUAAGUUGUGUUUGGCUUGAACAAUAAAAAGAGAUCUAACC
rnacentral:lncRNA from 1 species